AGUGAACGCUGGCGGUAGGCCUAACACUUGCAAGUCGAACGGCAGCACAGUAAGAGCUUGCUCUUACGGGUGGCGAGUGGCGGACGGGUGAGGAAUACAUCGGAAUCUACUUUUUCGUGGGGGAUAACGUAGGGAAACUUACGCUAAUACCGCAUACGACCUACGGGUGAAAGCAGGGGAUCUUCGGACCUUGCGCGAUUGAAUGGGCCGAUGUCGGAUUAGCUAGUUGGCGGGGUAAAGGCCCACCAAGGCGACGAUCCGUAGCUGGUCUGAGAGGAUGAUCAGCCACACUGGAACUGAGACACGGUCCAGACUCCUACGGGAGGCAGCAGUGGGGAAUAUUGGACAAUGGGCGCAAGCCUGAUCCAGCCAUACCGCGUGGGUGAAGAAGGCCUUCGGGUUGUAAAGCCCUUUUGUUGGGAAAGAAAAGCAGCAGGUUAAUACCCCGCUGUUCUGACGGUACCCAAAGAAUAAGCACCGGCUAACUUCGUG
rnacentral:rRNA from 1 species